rnacentral:lncRNA from 1 species
ACUGUUUUUGUUUUGUUACAGGCAUUAUUUGGUACCGUUCACUCAGGCCAAGAAAAGCAAAUGGAAGAGGGCUGGAAUUAAACUGCACAUAUACAACGACCAUACGUUCGUCGCCAAACAUUUGUCCAGCCGCCUCAAUUGCUUGGUGUGCGCGAGAUACUUCCCGAGGCGCAUCGGCAAGCAGGGGUACGAGUGCAGGGACUGUCUGAUCAAAUGCCACAAGGAAUGUCACGUCAAGGUGUCGGUGGUGUGCACCAAUUCAAAAAUUCAUAACAUCGACCUGAAUAAUCUAACGGUAUUGCCAUCGAUAUCGGCCUAGCGACGAGGCAGUCGGCCGCGUCGGAUGCGACCCACUCGGUCCGCUCACGUUCACUUUCUCACUAACAUUUUCAUAAUAUAAUAUAACAUAAUGUCAUAUAUAUAUAUAUUACUAUUGUCGUAACAUUAUAACGCACCGUAUUAUUAUUAUUAUUAUUAUUAUAUUGUACCUGUACGAUAACGUUAUUAUAUUUGUGUGUACAACCGACCAUCGCGUAUUGUUGUUGUUAUACUAUAAUAGGAGCACUGUCGUCAAAAGGCCACCGGAAUAAAAUACAAUAAUAUUAAUGUCGUAAUAAUAUCAUUUUCGAUGCACAUUUAAAAACCGCCGCGGCGACGACAAAUCUUCCGACGACAGCAUAUUAUACCAUGAUAUAGUCGUACGCACUAAAUAUUAUACUAAAUAACGACGAUAUAAUAAUAACGAUUGUAAUUAUUAUAACACACAUUAGUAUCUAAUAUUUUACUAGUAGUGUUCAGUUCGCUUACACUGCAACUGCGGCUAGCGUCUCGUUUUUUAUUUUUUUAAAUUUUAUUUCUCGACCGCUUUCAAAUCAUAUCUCACACUCGACGAGUCCAAUGCUGGUAGUAACUUUUAUUAUAAUAUUAUUAUUUUUUUUUUAUUCAGUACCUACGAUGUUCGCUAAAGUUUUAAAUACAAAUAUUUUUGCUGGUUUAGACCAGUGAUGUGUGGAGAAUAUGUGGAGAUACUCGAGGCGAUACAAUAAUAAAACCAUUGAGACGGGCUGUUUUACUAAACUCCCGUAUCGUGUGGGUUUUCAAAUGUUUAGUCAUCAAAACGAUAGUUUUCUUAUAGAUAACUAACAAAACGUAACACGUUUGUUUAUCGGUAGGUACCAAUAUUAUGUACCCAACGGAAUCGAUGGUAAUUAUUCGCAUUCCACUCCACUUACACAACUGAGAGAGAGAGAGAACAUAUUUUAUUAGUGGGUCUUGGAGGAAAUACUACACUUUUUUCUUUACAUUCCCUCUGUCGACCAUUAACAUGAUAAUUGCUCCAUCUAUUAGUAUAACGUCUAUGGCGGGUGAUACAAGUGGCGUUAUCAUUUUCGUGUACCUACUGCAGUGUUUACCACAAGAUGUCUGACAAAAAUUAAAAUUUGGGACAUAGAAUUUUCGGAAACACUUGUUCUGGCGCAAUUACAGGUACAGAUAAUAAAUUAUAAUUUCGUAAAGAAAAAAUGAGAUGCACGCUUUUGCAGUUUAAGCGACGGGGUUAAGGGUAACGCACGACUCCAUUGUUUCUGAGUUUUAACAACGACACGGCGGGGCGUGGACGAGGAAGACGGUCGACGGAGACGCAGAGCAAACGCCGCUGUCGUAGGAACCGUAACCGUGUAAUAGGUAAUACCAUAAUGUUGUAAGGUAGGAUAGGGUAGGAGUAGGUUAUGUCGUAUAAUAGAUAAUAAUAUAAUAUCAGUAGAGGUAGUUGUUUUGUGCCCCGAACGUGUGUGUGUGUGUGUGUGUGUGUGUGUGUGUGUGUGUGU